rnacentral:rRNA from 1 species
GGUGAACGCUGGCGGCGUGCCUAACACAUGCAAGUCGAGCGGUGCAGUUUGAAGCUUCGGUGGAAAGCUGCAUAGCGGCGGACGGGUGAGGAAAACGUAGGAACGUGCCCCUUGGAGUUGGAUAGCCACGGGAAACUGUGGGUAAACCGACAUAGACUCGAGAGAGUAAAGGCCGAAAGGCGCCAAGGGAGCGGCCUGCGGCCCAUCAGGUAGUUGGUAGUGUAAAGGACUACCAAGCCGACGACGGGUAGCCGGUCUGAGAGGAUGGCCGGCCACAAGGGCACUGAGAGACGGGCCCUACUCCUACGGGAGGCAGCAGUGGGGGAUUUUGGACAAUCGGGCGAAAGGCCUGAUCCAGCGACGCCGCGUGGAGGACGAAGCCCUUCGGGUGUAAACUCCUUUUCUCAGGAAAAGGAUGAUGGUACCUGAGGAAUAAGCCCGGCUAACUACGUG